GGGUUGUGAGGUUAAGCGACUAAGCGUACACGGUGGAUGCCCUGGCAGUCAGAGGCGAUGAAGGGCGUGCUAAUCUGCGAUAAGCGCCGGUAAGGUGAUAUGAACCGUUAUAACCGGCGAUACCCGAAUGGGGAAACCCAGUGUGAUUCGUCACACUAUCAUUACGUGAAUACAUAGCGUAAUGAAGCGAACCGGGGGAACUGAAACAUCUAAGUACCCCGAGGAAAAGAAAUCAACCGAGAUUCCCCCAGUAGCGGCGAGCGAACGGGGAGGAGCCCAGAGCCUGAAUCAGCAUGUGUGUUAGUGGAAGCGUCUGGAAAGGCGCGCGAUACAGGGUGACAGCCCCGUACACAAAAGCGCAUGUGUUGUGAGCUCGAUGAGUAGGGCGGGACACGUGGUAUCCUGUCUGAAUAUGGGGGGACCAUCCUCCAAGGCUAAAUACUCCUGACUGACCGAUAGUGAACCAGUACCGUGAGGGAAAGGCGAAAAGAACCCCGGCGAGGGGAGUGAAAAAGAACCUGAAACCGUGUACGUACAAGCAGUGGGAGCACCCUUUGGGGUGUGACUGCGUACCUUUUGUAUAAUGGGUCAGCGACUUAUAUUCUGUAGCAAGGUUAACCGAAUAGGGGAGCCGGAGGGAAACCGAGUCUUAAUUGGGCGUUAAGUUGCAGGGUAUAGACCCGAAACCCGGUGAUCUAGCCAUGGGCAGGUUGAAGGUUGGGUAACACUAACUGGAGGACUGAACCGACUAAUGUUGAAAAAUUAGCGGAUGACCUGUGGCUGGGGGUGAAAGGCCAAUCAAACCGGGAGAUAGCUGGUUCUCCCCGAAAGCUAUUUAGGUAGCGCCUCGUGAAUUCAUCUCCGGGGGUAGAGCACUGUUUCGGCUAGGGGGCCAUCCCGGCUUACCAACCCGAUGCAAACUGCGAAUACCGGAGAAUGUUAUCACGGGAGACACACGGCGGGUGCUAACGUCCGUCGUGAAGAGGGAAACAACCCAGACCGCCAGCUAAGGUCCCAAAGUCAUGGUUAAGUGGGAAACGAUGUGGGAAGGCCCAGACAGCCAGGAUGUUGGCUUAGAAGCAGCCAUCAUUUAAAGAAAGCGUAAUAGCUCACUGGUCGAGUCGGCCUGCGCGGAAGAUGUAACGGGGCUAAACUAUGCACCGAAGCUGCGGCAGCGACACUA
rnacentral:rRNA from 1 species